rnacentral:rRNA from 1 species
CGAACGCUGGCGGCAGGCUUAACACAUGCAAGUCGAACGGAACAUAGAGUGCUUGCACUUUAUGUCAGUGGCGCACGGGUGAGUAACGCGUAGGUAUCUGUCUGUUGGACGGGGAUAGCCUCUGGAAACGGAGGGUAAAACCCGGUAAGACCUGAGGGUGAGACGAGAAAUCGGCCGACAGAGGAGCCUGCGUUAGAUUAGGCAGUUGGUGGGGUAACGGCCUACCAAACCGACGAUCUAUAGCUGGUCUGAGAGGAUGAUCAGCCACAUUGGGACUGAGACACGGCCCAAACUCCUACGGGAGGCAGCAGUGGGGAAUAUUGGACAAUGGGGGAGACCCUGAUUCCCAGCCAUGCCGCGUGAGUGAAGAAGGCCUUCGGGUUGUAAAGCUCUUUUACACGGGAAGAUGAUGACGGUACCGUGAGAAUAAGCACCGGCUAACUUCGUGCCAGCAGCCGC